UUCUUAAUACUAAUCUAUUAAUAUUAUUCUAAAAAUUACGGGAUAUUAUAUUCUACCCUCCUUAAAAAGAAUUUGGUCCCCAAAUUCUCUCAAAUCUACUCUCCAAACCCAUUUAAAUCAAGACAUAUAACUAAUUAAUUAAAACUACGUAUAUUAUAUAUAUACCCCCUUAAAAAGGAUUCCGUCCCCGGAAUCUAACGAAACUAAAACUCGUACCUGAAUCGAAUAAGUGCGGAC
rnacentral:lncRNA from 1 species